GAACCUAGACACUAAAAGAACGGCAUACCCUUUUUACUCUCUCAAUCGACCUGCUAGGAGUAACAUUCAGAGCAUCAUCAUGUAGAAAAGCUUGAAAACUUUGUUGAGUUGAAGAGAAUUAAUAGAGCUAAUCAACCAAAUAGCUCUCUCGCUGCUGCUACUAAUUGUCGCCAGAGAUAAUUAAGAAAGCAUUAACCAAAGAAAACUCUUUUCUAAUUCUCGUGAAACUCGUCGCCGGCAACUCAUUUCUCAUUUAAAAUUUUCUAUUCAAAUUCUUAAUUCAUUUCUCUUUCCUUUUUGCCUUACUUCUUUCCUUAAUUCUUCCUCUCGUCAAGUCUGUAAUAAAUCGAUUUACCUCAAUUUGGAGCCGAGGUAUUCUUCCAUGAAGCGCACAGUCCGGUUGAAGGUCAUAAUUUUGCUGAUUAUUCGAUUUUGGUGAGGAUUCGUCCAUCGGGUUUCGAUUUCGGGUCCUGUUCGUGGCUUAAGUAUUUGGGAGGCAAUAUUUCAUAUUUCAUUUGGCAAAAUAUAUUUAAGUCCGAUGUUGGGGUCGGGUUCGAGGUGUCCGGGCAGAUUCGCGUUUCCGGUGUGGAUUUGAAGUGCUAUUGUCCAAUUUUAAUUCCUGCUUCAUUCGAGAACAACAUCGCUGCUGUUUAAAAUUGAAAGGUUCGGUCCCGCCUAAGGUUCAUUCUUCCCUCUGUUCUUCCUUAAUCCAAAUUUCUAUCAUGUGCUAGCCUACAUUUGUUUGUACACUAUAUUUUAAUUGUUGCUUUGUGAUUAGUUUUUGAUUUCCUUUUUUAGACUCAUUUGGCUUUAAUUAUUGACUAAGCUUUUAACUAAAGACAAUUUAUGAAUUUUGUCUAGUGAAUAUUAUGGGCGUGUAAGUUGAAAAGGGACUAUGGGUAGGGAGCUAAUUGAUUAAAUGGGAUUAGGCAAUGACGGUUCGAAUAGAAUUGAAAAAAUCGGGUUUAAGAGAGUUAGACAAAAGAUGGCAUGUUUUUAUUGUUAUUUUUGUUAUUACUAGACACUCAUUGAAUCGCUAGUAACAUGUUUAGGCUGGAAACACUCGGGUACGCAAGCCUUAGGAUUUUGUUAGUUUGAAAGUGAGAGGUUGUCCCUUAGUUAAAUUUAUCCGGGGAAUGCCACAUGAAGUUUGUAUAUAUUAUUAUCCGAGGUAAGCCUCGAAGUAUUUGUAUUUGAAGGCCGAAGACGGAACGGUUCGAGGAAGCGUAGAAUAGAACUUUAAUAAUUUCUUUUAUUUAGUUUUAUCUUUUUUGGUGGGGAUGACCUCGAGCCUCUUGUGUGUUUAUUUUUCUUUUUCUAUAUUUUUUGCCUCAAUUUGAAUAUUUUAAAAGGCAACAUGAUCAAGUACGCAACCGCACUAGUUGCGGGAAUUGGGGAGUGCCUAACAUCUCCUCCCCGAGUCAAAUGAACCCCCUUACCUGAAUAUCUGGUGCGGACUUGGUUUUAGAGUCCAACAUAUUUUAAAAGGGAAAGAUUAUUUUAAGAAAAACGGUGACCUGGCUCACCGAAACCAAUGUCAGUUGGCGACUCUGAGUUAAUCCUUUUGAAAUACAAUUUUUGUCACUUUUCAAAAUUAAAAACCCUUUUCAAGCUUUUAUUAAAUUAUUUUAUUUAUUUAAGAGGGUUUAGUGAGGUUUGUAUAAAAAGGGGUGUGACAUCUCUGGCGACUCUGUUGGGAGACUCGCGGGUUCGAGCUAGUACUCGAUUUUGUUGGCAUUAGAAUAUUCAGUUGAGUUUUUUUAAUGUUUUUAUUUAUUUAUUUAGCUUUGCUCAAUUUUUAUUAUGUUUUAUAUUUAGUUACUUGCUAGUUGUUUAUGUGUUUACUGAUUUAUAACUGUCAUCAUAUGCAUUACUCGGUCAAUUCUUUCUGCAACAAGUCUCGGAGCACGCGUCGCGUGCACGAUCUCUUUGUUGAGUCACCCUUAAUUUAGGAGGGGGACCGUCGGACGUAUGGAGUGGGUGGAAAGCUUGAGCAGCCACUAUCGACCAUACGCUCCCACGAAUUUCCUUGUUAGUGAAUCCCAAACUUAGUUCAGCCUUAGGUCAUUUUUAUUUGCAUAAAACAUUUACACCUAGUAAGGCUCGGUGCCAGGUACUGUGUCCCUUUGUAAGGAGCCUGUCAAAAUUUUGCCAAAAUGGGCCCGUGGCCCAAAAUGACAUUUAAUCAUCCUAUGUGCAAAAUAUUACAUCUUUGAGGGUAAAAAGGUCAUUUGGCGGACCAAUGUUUGAAAAGAAGGGUGAAAAAUGAAUAAAGUAGAGCCCACCCGUAUUUUUCUUUGAUGGUUUUCCUUAGAAAAUGAAAAAUCCAAAAAGAUUUUACACUUUUCCAUCAUUUUUCAAAAAUUCAAAAGUAGAAAUAAAAAAUCCAAAAAGAUUUUACACUUUUCCAUCAUUUUCAAAAAUUCAAAAAGUAGAAAAUGAAAAAUCCAAAAAGAUUUUACACUUUUCCAUUAUUUUUCAAAAAAGUUAAAAAGUAGAAAAUAAAAAAUCCAAAAAGAUUUUACACUUUUCCAUCAUUUUUCAAAAAUUCAAAAAGUAGAAAAUGAAAACCCAAAAAGAUUUUAUACUUUUCCAUUAUUUUCCAAAACUCAAAAAGUAGAAAUAAAAAAAAAACCAAAAAUUUUUGCACUUUCCAUCAUUUUUCAAAAAUGACCAAAAAUAGUUUUUAUUUUAAAUUCGAUGCAUUUUUUUUCCUUUAUCCUAUAUUUAAUCCUCUCGAACUACGCGAACCUGAUUCUCAUCUUUCGAAGCGAGAUACGUAGGCAACCCACAUAGGGUCCGGUAUUCCUAGUCUUUGGUUCUUGGCUUUGCGGGGUCCUACCAAAUAUUGCAUGUCUAGCCACUUUUGACCACAUCGGCUAUUCUUGCAAAAUGGGGUUAUUUUCGCAGAAGUGGUUCAAUAACCCAUGUCUUAGGAUUUUGAGUCCACAACUAGGUGUCAUAUUACUUUAAGGACCGUCUUUUUUGAGUCAGCAUCUUUAGCCACUUUUGGCCAUAUCGGUCGUUUUUGCUAAAUGGGUUAUUUCUGCAAAUUAAUUUUUGGGCUCCAUGAUAUUGGGAGUAUGAAUCCAUUAAUGUCUUAGUGAGUCAUUUUCCAUGUCCAUGAGGUCAAUUGUGUUGAGUUUGCGUUAAUAGCCAUUCUUGGUCAUAUAGGUUAAUUUAAAAAAUAGCCCAAUUUGGUCAUGCAUGUGUCUAAUAUGAGGUGUGGUUGCAUAGUAUCUUGAGUCAGUGAUCUAUUUCGGCUUAUUUUUCUCAUUCAGGUACGGAUUCAUUACCAGAGCUCGAGCAUGAUAAAUACCUCAGGAUUACUGCAUUUAGGAGCCGCUAAUAGAUAUUUUAUGUUUUGAGUCUGUCAUAUUGUCUUUUACUUUCUAGUCUUGUACAUUAAUAUUGAGUCUUUUGUUAUGUUGCUUCCCAUUUUGUGUUUGAAAAACUAAAAUAAAAAUAAUAAAUGGAAAAUUCAAAAUGAUUUUUAUUUUAAAUUUAUUUAUUCAUCAAUUUUUCUAGAACUACGCUUGAUUUGAUGCAUGAGGGACAUGAUACGUAUGCAACCUAUAUAGGUUCGAUCGAAUCAUAUAAUUUUUUUUAAAAAAUAAUAAAAAUAAAUAGGAAAAAAAGAAAAAGAGAUGGAAAUUGUGGAUGUGAGAAAUGAAAGGAAAGAAAAGAGGGGGAACAAAUGAAAACCAAGCAGUGCUAGAAAAGAAAGAAAAAAGAAGGUUGAAGUGAAUAAAAUGGGGAUGAUGCCAAAUGAUCUUGUGACCCUCGAAGCCAUUCUAGAACCGUUAAUUGUUGCUAGGGGCAUUGCACGCAAUGUGAUAUUUUAAGCUGAUAAAUGCUCUAACACUAACCUAUUGGCUUUGUUUUGCUCCUCUUUAUUACUUUCAGUACUCCAGAGGGUGGUUAGUUUGUGGCAUUUUGGUGAUUUUUCCGUACAACACAAGGUCAAAAAGCAAGGAAACCAUGGCUAGAAAAGACCUGGAUACAAGAGUUGUCGACCCCUCGAGGGAGAUUGUGGGGUCGGAAUCUGAAUUGAAGGAGGAGGUCCAAAGGUUGAAACAA
rnacentral:lncRNA from 1 species